UGGGAGGACCAUCUCCUAAGGCUAAAUACUCUCUAGUGACCGAUAGUGAACCAGUACCGUGAGGGAAAGGUGAAAAGCACCCCGGAAGGGGAGUGAAAUAGAACCUGAAACCGUGUGCUUACAAGUAGUCAGAGCCCGUUAAUGGGUGAUGGCGUGCCUUUUGUAGAAUGAACCGGCGAGUUACGAUUUGAUGCAAGGUUAAGCAGUAAAUGUGGAGCCGUAGCGAAAGCGAGUCUGAAUAGGGCGUUUAGUAUUUGGUCGUAGACCCGAAACCAGGUGAUCUACCCUUGGUCAGGUUGAAGUUCAGGUAACACUGAAUGGAGGACCGAACCGACUUACGUUGAAAAGUGAGCGGAUGAACUGAGGGUAGCGGAGAAAUUCCAAUCGAACCUGGAGAUAGCUGGUUCUCUCCGAAAUAGCUUUAGGGCUAGCCUCAAGUGAUGAUUAUUGGAGGUAGAGCACUGUUUGGACGAGGGGCCCCUCUCGGGUUACCGAAUUCAGACAAACUCCGAAUGCCAAUUAAUUUAACUUGGGAGUCAGAACAUGGGUGAUAAGGUCCGUGUUCGAAAGGGAAACAGCCCAGACCACCAGCUAAGGUCCCAAAAUAUAUGUUAAGUGGAAAAGGAUGUGGCGUUGCCCAGACAACUAGGAUGUUGGCUUAGAAGCAGCCAUCAUUUAAAGAGUGCGUAAUAGCUCACUAGUCGAGUGACACUGCGCCGAAAAUGUACCGGGGCUAAACAUAUUACCGAAGCUGUGGAUUGUCCUUUGGACAAUGGUAGGAGAGCGUUCUAAGGGCGUUGAAGCAUGAUCGUAAGGACAUGUGGAGCGCUUAGAAGUGAGAAUGCCGGUGUGAGUAGCGAAAGACGGGUGAGAAUCCCGUCCACCGAUUGACUAAGGUUUCCAGAGGAAGGCUCGUCCGCUCUGGGUUAGUCGGGUCCUAAGCUGAGGCCGACAGGCGUAGGCGAUGGAUAACAGGUUGAUAUUCCUGUACCACCUAUAAUCGUUUUAAUCGAUGGGGGGACGCAGUAGGAUAGGCGAAGCGUGCGAUUGGAUUGCACGUCUAAGCAGUAAGGCUGAGUAUUAGGCAAAUCCGGUACUCGUUAAGGCUGA
rnacentral:rRNA from 1 species